rnacentral:sRNA from 1 species
GCAAAAGUUGGUUUUUUUUUUCAAAUUUGCAUUUAGUAAUACAUGUAUUAAAUAAUCGCCAUUAGUAAAAAAAAGAAUCUGUUUAAAUUGCAUUACAUAUCCUAUUUACAGAACAUGUGUGUAAGAUGUAUGCAUUAUACUAUUUAAUGUAAUUUUCAAAACCAUCAGCUGUAGAAUUUUUAUUCAUUUUUCCCCUGUUUAUCUCACACUCAUAUCAUUGUAGUGAACAAUAGGAGACUUGUUAAAUGGAUGUAGCCUAAACAUGUUAUGUACUGUAAUAUAUAGAUAUAUUGAGUCGUUCUUAAGAAAGUCGCUUUGGUGUCUGUUGAUUUUGUUAUUCAAUUGUUAAUUUUGCACAACUGUCAAUUGAUUUUUAAUUGUUAUUUUAUGAUAAGAAUGUUCAUGUGAAAGCCGAUCUUUGGAGCCUCCCAUGCUAUAUGUAAUGUAGAUAUUAAAGUUUGAUGUUGUUCCAUCUAUCCUUUAUGUCUUUUCUAUAAAGGAGCUUUUGUAUCGGGGUUUCUUUGUCUGAUCAGCUUUAACUGUAUCAGUGUUUUGUGACGUAUUAUAAACAUCAAAUAUUAAAUUGAUAAUGUU